GAUGAACGCUGGCGGCGUGCCUAACACAUGCAAGUCGAACGGAGAUUACGGACGGAAGUUUUCGGAUGGAAGACUGUAAUUCUUAGUGGCGGACGGGUGAGUAACGCGUGGGCAACCUGCCCUAUACAGGGGGAUAGCAGCUGGAAACGGCUGGUAAGACCGCAUAAGUCGGUUAAAUCGCAUGAUUUGAUCGGGAAAUGAGCAAUCAGGUAUAGGAUGGGCCCGCGUCCGAUUAGCCAGUUGGCAGGGUAAAAGCCUACCAAAGCGACGAUCGGUAGCCGGACUGAGAGGUCGGACGCCCACAUUGGGACUGAGACACGGCCCAAACUCCUACGGGAGGCAGCAGUGGGGGAUAUUGCACAAUGGAGGAAACUCUGAUGCAGCGACGCCGCGUGAGUGAAGAAGUAUUUCGGUAUGUAAAGCUCUAUCAGCAGGGAAGAUGAUGACGGUACCUGAAGAAGAAGCCCCGGCUAACUACGUG
rnacentral:rRNA from 1 species